rnacentral:rRNA from 1 species
AGUAUGUGUUUAAUUCGAAGAUACACGAAGAACCUUACCAGGUCUUGACAUACCAUUGACAGGCGCAGAGAUGUGCUCUCCUUCGGGCAAUGGAUACAGGUGGUGCAUGGUUGUCGUCAGCUCGUGCCGUGAGGUGUUGGGUUAAGUCCCGCAACGAGCGCAACCCUCAUUGUUAGUUACUACCAUUCAGUUGAGGACUCUAAUGAGACUGCCAACGAUAAGUUGGAGGAAGGUGGGAUGACGUCAAAUCAUCAUGCCCUUUAUGACCUGGGCUACAAACGUACUACAAUGGCCAAUACAAAGAGAUGCGAAGCGGUGACGUGGAGCGAACCUCAGAAAGUUGGUCUCAGUUCAGAUUGAAGUCUGCAACUCGACUUCAUGAAGGCGGAAUCGCUAGUAAUCGCAGGUCAGCAUACUGCGGUGAAUACGUUCCCGGGCCUU